UGGGGAAUAUUGCACAAUGGGCGCAAGCCUGAUGCAGCAACGCCGCGUGAGUGAAGAAGUAUUUCGGUAUGUAAAGCUCUAUCAGUAGGGAAGAAAGGCCCGCAAGGGAGAUGACGGUACCUGACUAAGAAGCCCCGGCUAACUACGUGCCAGCAGCCGCGGUAAUACGUAGGGGGCAAGCGUUAUCCGGAUUUACUGGGUGUAAAGGGAGCGCAGACGGCAGUGCAAGUCUGAUGUGAAAGCCCGGGGCUCAACCCCGGAACUGCAUUGGAACCUGUACAGCUUGAGUGUCGGAGAGGUAAGCGGAAUUCCUAGUGUAGAGGUGAAAUGCGUAGAUAUUAGGAGGAACACCGGUGGAGAAGGCGGCUCACUGGACGAUUACUGACGUUGAGGCUCGAAAGCGUGGGGAGCAAACAGG
rnacentral:rRNA from 1 species